rnacentral:lncRNA from 1 species
GGAGGGGCCGGUGUCGGGAGGGUCCCAGGGACUGGGAGGCCCGUCGGGGCUGGGCUCAGGGGCCGAGACCUAGCUGGGCUUGGGGCGGGGCCGAGACGGAGCGAGGGGUCCCGGGUGUGGGAAACGGGAAGGGGUUUGAGGAGGGGAUCGGAAUGUGGCUCAAGUUCGGGAGGCGUUACCUGCGGAGGGUUUGAGGCAAGCCCAGGAGCGAGCCCACGGUCUGCUGACGCGGGGCCAGGGGCGGGCCCCAGAAUCCGGAGCUUCGGGCGGGGCGGAGUCCGAGUUUCGGGCCCGGGAGGCGGGGCCAGUUAGGGCGAGGGUCCCUGGGAUCGACGGGUCAGGUCUUGGGCUAACGUAGGCACUCUCGCAGUUCCUCCGCCUUCAGGAAGGUCUUUUUAGCAGGGGCCUUACGGGUGCGCGCUUCGGUCCUGGAGGCCUUAUCCUAACCUCUUCUCCAUCAGCGCCACCCGUCUGGGGCCUGAAACGAGGGAGCUUUCCCUCUGUCCCCCAGCCUUUGGACUGUCACCAAACAAGCCAUUCGUUCAUCAAAUACUUUUUAAGCGCCUACCAUGUGCCUGACAAGGGAGAUGUAACGGUGAGAAAAACUAGGUGUGGUCCAGGCCCUCCAGGGGCUCAGGGGCUCGUGGAAGAAGUGGACAUUGAAGUACUUAUCACACAAAUGAGGAUAAAAGUACGAUAGCGAUAUCUACCACGAAGCUGUUGUUCCACACCAGAAGCAAAUGAGCGCAAGAUCUGACAAAGAAAAAGAAAGGUUCAUCUUUUAUUUCUCCAAACACUUUCAUUUAAAUCAAGAGGAUGGGAUGUGGUUAUUGCUGUGUUUUUAGACAGAAUCAACGGUUUCUGGCUCUGAGAUGUUGCAUACACCCUCUCAGUCCCUGUAUCCUGAGAUGGAGUCACCUGAGGAUCCACAGCAAGUCCUAACCAGGGAUGGGUCUGGGUGAUUAAGGAAGGUUGGCUUCAGAACUGGGCCAGGGGCACUGCUUUGCUUUUGCUGUUUUGAUCAGCCCUCUGCCUGCAGGAGACAAGGAAAACCAAUGAGAACAGCCCAGUAAAGGCGCCAUUCCCC